GACGAACGCUGGCGGCGUGCUUAACACAUGCAAGUCGAACGGAAAGGCCCUGCUUUUGUGGGGUGCUCGAGUGGCGAACGGGUGAGUAACACGUGAGUAACCUGCCCUUGACUUUGGGAUAACUUCAGGAAACUGGGGCUAAUACCGGAUAGGAGCUCCUGCUGCAUGGUGGGGGUUGGAAAGUUUCGGCGGUUGGGGAUGGACUCGCGGCUUAUCAGCUUGUUGGUGGGGUAGCGGCUUACCAAGGCUUUGACGGGUAGCCAGCCUGAGAGGGUGACCGGCCACAUUGGGACUGAGAUACGGCCCAGACUCCUACGGGAGGCAGCAGUGGGGAAUAUUGCACAAUGGGCGGAAGCCUGAUGCAGCAACGCCGCGUGCGGGAUGACGGCCUUCGGGUUGUAAACCGCUUUCGCCUGUGACGAAGCGUGAGUGACGGUAAUGGGUAAAGAAGCACCGGCUAACUACGUG
rnacentral:rRNA from 1 species